AAGCCGCCCAUGGCGCCGCCCUACCAACAUCCUUCCCAACCACUCCCGCUAGAGCAGCUCCACCGGCGGUGGAACAAGCAACCGCACCCCGUGUUGUCCCUCCUCCCCCGCCCUUCUCCUCCAUUAGCAGCGAUCCCAUGCUCGGGCUCGGCUGGAUCCGCUCAUCGACGCGCCACCUGCAGCCCCCGAUUGUGGAUCCGCCCGCGAUGGGUGCUGCCGCCCAUGGAUCCAGUCGCCGGCGCAUGCCCUUGAGCAAAGCUCUAGAUCGAGGCGCAAAAUGCGGGCGCCGAGGAGGUCCCACCCACCGCAGCCCCAGCUGCGCCCCUGGUCGAUGCACCACAGUGCCUCCGUGACCCGACCCACCGCCACCCCGCGCGACACCGCGCUCCUCACCUCGUCUAGCCAGAGGACCUCUGCUCCUUUGUCCAGCGCCGACCAUGGAGGUGUCGAGGCCAGUGCGCCCAUGAAGUUCGUGCAGGUGAGCCGUCAAGUUGUUGUGGAGCGUGCGUGCAGUUCUUCCCUCGGCGUCGAAUAGAUCCAUCCACCCCUACCGGAUCCGAGCCUUCUCACUGCCGGAUUCUCUUCCUCCUCUCUAACAGAGGAUGAAGGCGCGCGGGAUGGGCAGAGGGAGGAGGGAUUGUGCUCCCCCAGCCGUCCCACCGUCGAUUAGCCGGCCCACUGCUCAUGGGUUGUGCAGUUCGGGAGGAGUGAUCCUGCAGUGCGGGAGAUCAUGGGUGUGCAGUUUUUUUCCUCAUAUUUUUGGUGUGCAGAUGAAUGUGUGGUUGUAUGCGUCUUGACUGUGGUUCGUGAAAGUGUACGGCAAUGACCGCACCCCAGUUCAUGGUGGUGCUUGAGACCGGGACUGCUCCCUCGAUGGCUGUUCAGCUCUAUGCUCUGCAGCCUACUGCAAGCACGACAAGGUGAGCAUUUCGUGACCGCCGUAGUGCAGCUCACACGCCAUGUGGUUUGCAGCCCAGAAUUCCUUCUAUGCUUUCAAAUUUUGUUUUUUGCUGCAGGCAUCCCACCGGUGGCGCUACCGUCCAAUUUAGGUAGUGCUCUUGCGCAGCUCCCAGUCCACCUCGAUGCCGUCCACACUGCAGGGAAGAUUAGGCAAGGACAGGGGCAUCACCGGCUAGUCAGCCAUAGGCUCGUUCUCCACCUCUCUUGAGUGGACAUCAUCGUGCAGCUCGGCUACAAGAUGCAUGCAGUUAACAGCGGGAGAGAUAGCUGUGAGACUGUCGUAUGCUAGCGGUGCAGUGCGCCUCCACAAGUAGUUCUGUCGGUGUGUGUCCUUUUAAAACUGCAGUGUAGUUUAAUUUUUCAGAUUAUUGAUCGACAAAAUGUAGUUUUGGUGCAGCAAAGUUCUUUUCUUUUUUGCUACGGAAGUAACGUAUUCUUGCGAACGCAGCUCAAUUGCUCAUUAGUGUGCCCCGACACUUCACUGUGAAUCUUCUGUUGCAAUUCACUCUGCAUAUUUUUUUUGCUUUA